rnacentral:rRNA from 1 species
AUUGAACGCUGGCGGAAUGCUUUACACAUGCAAGUCGAGCGGCAGCGCGGGGGCAACCCUGGCGGCGAGCGGCGAACGGGUGAGUAACAUAUCGGAACGUACCCAGUCGUGGGGGAUAACUAUCCGAAAGGAUAGCUAAUACCGCAUACGUCCUGAGGGAGAAAGCGGGGGAUCGCAAGACCUCGCGCGAUUGGAGCGGCCGAUAUCGGAUUAGCUAGUUGGUGGGGUAAAGGCUCACCAAGGCGACGAUCCGUAGCGGGUCUGAGAGGACGACCCGCCACACUGGAACUGAGACACGGUCCAGACUCCUACGGGAGGCAGCAGUGGGGAAUUUUGGACAAUGGGGGCAACCCUGAUCCAGCCAUUUCCGCGUGAGUGAAGAAGGCCUCGGUUG